GCUGCAGCGGACCCCUCCCACAAGUGGAACAACUGUCACGGAGCAACUGUUUGUGCGCUAAUCAGCCACCUGUCAGUGGAGUGGUGGUUCUAAGGCAGAAAGUGAGGAUCACUGAAGAGAAGAAAAACAAGGUCACUUCUUUGAGUUGUCUGUGGAUGGGAUCUAAUAAACUCCCCAGUGACAGCAGAAACCAUGACUAUGCUAAUUUCAUCAAGUCAUCCUCCACAGAUCAUUUUUUCUGCCUCUAAAAUUUGAAAUCUUAGCAAGACUGAGUAUGAGUCCGUAUUCUCUUUUUCUCUAUCUAAUAAGGUCAAGUUUAUCUAAAUUAAAUUAUGUUGAAAGUAGAAAUGUCAUUGUAUUUUUAUUUUUAGUUAUAGCCUCUCCAUACAACUGACCACUCCAUACCAGUUUAGUCUUCUUAGAAAAUAUGAAUAACUCUAUAAUGAUUAAGUGUAUAGUUAGCAAUAUAUAUUUCAAAUGAUUUGCUUUAAAUCUUAGCCAGAUGAAUCAUAAAUGCAAGUCUUAAAAUAUAUUACCUUUUGGAAAUUUUACUAGGAGAUAUUUCAUGAUUAAAAUAAAUAUUUUUGAUAUUCAACUUGGAAGACAUAUAGUCUAAACUAUAACACCCUCUCUGUGUAAACUCCAUUCUACCCCUUGUGCCCUCUAAUCAUUUUACAAAGGCACCAGAAUCUCAAGUCCAAGAUUCUUAUAGAGUAAGAUGUAGUAUUCACAAAGAAAACAACACAUUCAAUUAAAUUGAUGUUGUGCAAGUAAAAGCAUAGGCACCAAACUUUUACCUUUUUUGUUAUGAUUAACCUUCUUUUAUCAUUCAUGUGACAUGGAAAGUCAAAUAUGUAAAUCACAUUCAUUCAACAUAUUCACAUUAUUCAACAUAUAAGCUUAUAAAACUCCUUUUCAUUUUAUAUUUUAUAA